CCGGGGGUUCGCCUCCGGGUGAGAGUGGCGAACGGGUGAGUAAUGCGUGACCGACCUGCCCCAUACACCGGAAUAGCUCCUGGAAACGGGUGGUAAUGCCGGAUGCUCCGGUUGGAUGCAUGUCCUUCCGGGAAAGAUUCCAUCGGUAUGGGAUGGGGUCGCGUCCUAUCAGCUUGAUGGCGGGGUAACGGCCCACCAUGGCUUCGACGGGUAGCCGGCCUGAGAGGGCGACCGGCCACAUUGGGACUGAGAUACGGCCCAGACUCCUACGGGAGGCAGCAGUGGGGAAUAUUGCACAAUGGGCGCAAGCCUGAUGCAGCGACGCCGCGUGCGGGAUGGAGGCCUUCGGGUUGUAAACCGCUUUUGAUCGGGAGCAAGCCCUUCGGGGUGAGUGUACCCUUCGAAUAAGCACCGGCUAACUACGUGCCAGCAGCCGCGGUAAUACGUAGGGUGCAAGCGUUAUCCGGAAUUAUUGGGCGUAAAGGGCUCGUAGGCGGUUCGUCGCGUCCGGUGUGAAAGCCCAUCGCUUAACGGUGGGUCUGCGCCGGGUACGGGCGGGCUGGAGUGCGGUAGGGGAGACUGGAAUUCCCGGUGUAACGGUGGAAUGUGUAGAUAUCGGGAAGAACACCAAUGGCGAAGGCAGGUCUCUGGGCCGUCACUGACGCUGAGGAGCGAAAGCGUGGGGAGCGAACAGGAUUAGAUACCCUGGUAGUCCACGCCGUAAACGGUGGAUGCUGGAUGUGGGGCCCGUUCCACGGGUUCCGUGUCGGAGCUAACGCGUUAAGCAUCCCGCCUGGGGAGUACGGCCGCAAGGCUAAAACUCAAAGAAAUUGACGGGGGCCCGCACAAGCGGCGGAGCA
rnacentral:rRNA from 1 species